rnacentral:rRNA from 1 species
UACAGAGGAUGCAAGCGUUAUCCGGAAUGAUUGGGCGUAAAGCGUGCGCAGGCGGUUUGUUAAGUCUGCUGUGAAAUCCCCGAGCUCAACUUGGGAAUUGCAGUGGAUACUGGCAGGCUGGAGUAUGGUAGAGGAAGGUGGAAUUCCCGGUGUAGCAGUGAUAUGCGUAGAGAUCGGGAGGAACACCAGUGGCGAAGGCGGCCUUCUGGACCAAUACUGACGCUCAUGCACGAAAGCGUGGGGAGCAAACAGG